GAUGAACGCUGGCGGCGUGCCUAAUACAUGCAAGUCGAGCGAACAGACGAGGAGCUUGCUCCUCUGACGUUAGCGGCGGACGGGUGAGUAAAACGUGGAUAACCUACCUAUAAGACUGGGAUAACUUCGGGAAACCGGAGCUAAUACCGGAUAAUAUAUUGAACCGCAUGGUUCAAUAUUGAAAGACGGUUUUGCUGUCACUUAUAGAUGGAUCCGCGCCGCAUUAGCUAGUUGGUAAGGUAACGGCUUACCAAGGCAACGAUGCGUAGCCGACCUGAGAGGGUGAUCGGCCACACUGGAACUGAGACACGGUCCAGACUCCUACGGGAGGCAGCAGUAGGGAAUCUUCCGCAAUGGGCGAAAGCUUGACGGAGCAACGCCGCGUGAGUGAUGAAGGUCUUCGGAUCGUAAAACUCUGUUAUUAGGGAAGAACAAAUGUGUAAGUAACUAUGCACGUCUUGACGGUACCUAAUCAGAAAGCCACGGCUAACUACGUG
rnacentral:rRNA from 1 species